GAUGAACGCUGGCGGCGUGCCUAAUACAUGCAAGUCGAGCGAACAGACGAGGAGCUUGCUCCUCUGACGUUAGCGGCGGACGGGUGAGUAACACGUGGAUAACCUACCUAUAAGACUGGGAUAACUUCGGGAAACCGGAGCUAAUACCGGAUAAUAUAUUGAACCGCAUGGUUCAAUAGUGAAAGACGGUUUUGCUGUCACUUAUAGAUGGAUCCGCGCCGCAUUAGCUAGUUGGUAAGGUAACGGCUUACCAAGGCGACGAUGCGUAGCCGACCUGAGAGGGUGAUCGGCCACACUGGAACUGAGACACGGUCCAGACUCCUACGGGGGGCAGCAGUAGGGAAUCUUCCGCAAAGGGCGAAAGCCUGACGGAGCAACGCCGCGUGAGUGAUGAAGGUCUUCGGAUCGUAAAACUCUGUUAUUAGGGAAGAACAAAUGUGUAAGUAACUAUGCACGUCUUGACGGUACCUAAUCAGAAAGCCACGGCUAACUACGUG
rnacentral:rRNA from 1 species